CUUCUAGGUCUGUUGGUUUGGGACCCAUAGCUGUGUUUUGUUGCAGGAAGCUUAUUCUUCCUGGGCUGAAGAAGAAAAGACAUUGUAUCCUUUGCAGAGCCCGAUGGCAGAGUUGCAAGGAAUAAUUACACAUGACAGCUUGUGGGAGUUUUCCUUGAGCAGGUCCAGAACAGGUUCUGGAAAGUGACUUGGUUGUAGUGAGAAUGGAAGCAGAGAAGAUUGAUAAUGCAGAGAAUGUCUUCAGCUUCCAGAGCAGAAGCUCCUCCAUGUAGUCAGUGGGAGGGUUACAUUUAAAACUCAUGAAGACAACCCUGAAAAGACUAGAUUAGUUCUGAUGUGUUAUUCCAGCCUUUAUCCAUUAAACGAACAGCAGAUGGUUCAUCAUGUUAUAUUCUAUUGACCUACAGGAAGUGAUAGAAAAGGUGUUUUUGUCACUCCUACUUGCUACAAAAAAUGUAAAAUUUGCUUUUAGCUGUUAACUAGUGACCUUAAUUUGGGUAUCUGUCUUGUUUAAUGAGGAGAGGGGAAAAAAAAAUCAAUGAAAGUAGGGGUUUUAAAUAUGUUAUCUGAAUCCCCUGGGCUUAUUAGGUAGGAUAGUCUUGUAGACAGCAAGAUCCAUAUGGAAAUCCUUGAGGUAAUUUCAUGCAGUGUUGUCCUAUACUUGUAAUUCUUCGCCUGUGCAGAUGAUUUUCUACCUGACCAGACUAAGUAAAAUGGGCAAGUCACCCAUUAAGAGGAUUAAAGGCUUCUGGCUAUAACAAAGCAGAGACCAAGCCUUCAUAUGUGGCAUGGAGUUGAGCUAGUAUGAUAAAAUAAAUGAAGAAAAAAAAUUAUCUAAUUUUCAUUUCUGACAUGCUUAGAUAACAGAAGAAUUCAGAGUUGUUCUAUUUUAAAUGAGAAACAUAGUUUACAAUGGACCAUUCAGGGGUAAAUCAAGUUUAGAAUAUUAACUAGGCCCCUAAAAGCAGCCUCCAACUUUUCUGUGAGUUGUUCUCCUAAAAGAAAUAUGGUCUGGAGUUUGUCAGUCUCUUGAAUGUUUUAUAGCCUUAGAAAGUUAUAUUAAGAAUGUGAACUUGGAC